rnacentral:rRNA from 1 species
GGACUACCGGGGUUUCUAAUCCUGUUUGCUCCCCACGCUUUCGUGUCUCAGCGUCAGUACUCGUCCAGUUGGCCGCCUUCGCCACCGGUGUUCCUCUCGAUAUCUACGAAUUUCACCUCUACACCGAGAAUUCCACCAACCUCUCCGGUACUCAAGCCACGCAGUAUCGAGUGCACUUCCUGGGUUGAGCCCAGGGCUUUCACAUCCGACUUACAUGGCCGCCUACACACGCUUUACGCCCAGUAAUUCCGAACAACGUUUGCACCCUCUGUCUUACCGCGGCUGCUGGCAC